AUGAUAAAGAAUGCCCAGAAAAAUAAGCUCAUUGUAGGGUUGGCUCCUGACUUGAUCCCCAAUGGGGUCGCAGUCUUACAGUAUGCAGAUGAUACGAUCAUUUGCUUAGAGCAUGAUUUGGAGAAAGCACUGAAUCUAAAAAUUCUCCUGUAUACUUUUGAAUUGAUGUCUGCGUUGAAAGUUAAUUUCCACAAGAGUGAAAUCUUAACUGUGGGGGGUGAUGAUCAAAUUAAUAAAGCUUACGCAAAUCUCUUUAAUUGUGACACUGGUCAUUUUCCUCUUAAAUAUCUGGGGAUGCCUGUGAGCUUUACUACUCUUCAAAACUCGGACUGGGAGUUCAUUGUGGACAAAUAUUUGGUCAGGUUUGAUGCUUGGUUUGGUAAUGCGGCAUCUAUGGGAGGGAGACAUACCCUUUUGGACUCAGUGGUCACCCAGCUCUCUCUUUACCACAUGUCCAUGAGGCUGAUGAAUAAGAUGUUUGUGGAAAAGUUAGAUAAACAUAGGAGGAGGUUUUUCUGGUAG
rnacentral:rRNA from 1 species